rnacentral:rRNA from 1 species
GACGAACGCUGGCGGCGUGCUUAACACAUGCAAGUCGAACGGUGAAGCGAGUGCUUGCACUCGUGGAUCAGUGGCGAACGGGUGAGUAACACGUGAGUAACCUGCCCAUCACUCUGGGAUAAGCACUGGAAACGGUGUCUAAUACUGGAUACGACCAACCCUUGCAUGGGGUGUUGGUGGAAAGAUUUAUCGGUGAUGGAUGGACUCGCGGCCUAUCGGCUUGUUGGCGGGGUAAUGGCCCACCAAGGCGACGACGGGUAGCCGGCCUGAGAGGGUGACCGGCCACACUGGGACUGAGACACGGCCCAGACUCCUACGGGAGGCAGCAGUGGGGAAUAUUGCACAAUGGGCGAAAGCCUGAUGCAGCGACGCCGCGUGAGGGAUGACGGCCUUCGGGUUGUAAACCUCUUUCAGCAGGGAAGAAGCGAAAGUGACGGUACCUGCAGAAGAAGCACCGGCUAACUACGUG